rnacentral:rRNA from 1 species
UACGGAGGGAGCUAGCGUUGUUCGGAAUUACUGGGCGUAAAGCGUGCGUAGGUGGUUCGUUAAGUCUGAUGUGAAAGCCCUGGGCUCAACCUGGGAAUGGCAUUGGAUACUGGCGACCUAGAGUGCGGUAGAGGGGUGUGGAAUUCCCGGUGUAGCAGUGAAAUGCGUAGAUAUCGGGAGGAACAUCUGUGGCGAAGGCGACACCCUGGACCAGCACUGACACUGAGGCACGAAAGCGUGGGGAGCAAACAGG